rnacentral:rRNA from 1 species
GAUGAACGCUGGCGGCGUGCUUAACACAUGCAAGUCGAGCGGUCUAUCGGUGCUUGCACCGAUGUGACAGCGGCGGACGGGUGAGUAACGCGUGGGCAACCUACCUCAUACAGGGGGAUAACAAGUAGAAAUGCUUGCUAAUACCCCAUAAGCCGACGGAAUGGCAUCAUUAAGCCGGAAAAGAUUAAUCGGUAUGAGAGGGACCCGCGUCUGAUUAGCUAGUUGGUGGGGUAAAGGCCUACCAAGGCGACGAUCAGUAGCCGGACUGAGAGGUUGAACGGCCACAUUGGGACUGAGAUACGGCCCAGACUCCUACGGGAGGCAGCAGUCGGGAAUAUUGCGCAAUGGAGGAAACUCUGACGCAGUGACGCCGCGUAUAGGAAGAAGGUUUUCGGAUUGUAAACUAUUGUCGUUAGGGAAGAAAAGGACAGUACCUAAGGAGGAAGCCCCGGCUAACUAUGUGCCAGCAGCCGCGGUAAUACAUAGGGGGCAAGCGUUAUCCGGAAUUAUUGGGUGUAAAGGGUGCGUAGACGGGAUAGCAAGUUAGUUGUGAAAUACCUCGGCUUAACUGAGGAAGUGCAACUAAAACUACUAAUCUUGAGUAUGGGAGAGGAAAGUGGAAUUCCUAGUGUAGCGGUGAAAUGCGUAGAUAUUAGGAGGAACACCAGUGGCGAAGGCGACUUUCUGGACCAAAACUGACGUUGAUGCACGAAAGUGUGGGGAGCAAACAGGAUUAGAUACCCUGGUAGUCCACACUGUAAACGAUGGAUACAAGGUGUAGGAUGUGAUUUAACAACCUGUGCCGACGCAAACGCAAUAAGUAUCCCACCUGGGGAGUACGACCGCAAGGUUG